rnacentral:lncRNA from 1 species
CAUUCUCUUGCAUUCCACCCGGGGAACAAGACAGCACCGGGUUUCACACUGGCAAGGCAGGAGGCUGUGUGCUGCCAGAACGACCAGCAGGGGGCGCAAAGGCCACGCCAGGCACCUGCUGGCCUCAGAGAAAACAGAAAGGGAACCAGGAAGCCCACUCCUGCUGUCCUUUCUCUGCAAGGAAAUGUGCCAGGGCACUGCAGCCCAGACAGUCGGCAGUAGAGGACCCAUGAAGUAUCUUUGUGCAAAGAAAGCAGCAAAGAGAAUUAAGAGAAUUGCAUCAUAUAAAGAGUGAAUUAAACCAUCUAAAGGAGCAAAAAUUCAUCAUCACAUGGACAAGAAAUUAAGACGUAACAUCCAUCUCACUAUUUGCAAAGUGGCUUAUUCCUACAGACAAUGCAGAUAUGUAAAAAGCAGCUGGAAACCUAGGAGCAGAAGCCCAGCAUAAAGAUCUCUGAAAGCCUGGAUGCGUGGAUUCCUCUCUUACUUCCCAAAACGGUGGGGUGGAAAUGUGAAUAUCAGCAUGAUGCACAGAUCUCUGCAGAUGUCCAGCGAACUGAAUUUCUAGACGCUAUAAUCUAUGUUCUUUCCCAACCCCCACUUCAGUUUACAUAUCGCAGGCCAUAGAUCCUGUUUGUUGAAAAGCGAUCAGCUAGAAAACAAGAGUGGUUAUAACCUGUGCUGCCCAGUGAUCAGGAAAAGAGAGCGGAUGAAACUUCCAUGACUUUCUGUUAGUCUGAUUAAUAUCCAUGCCAAAUGUAAGAUUAGUUAAAAGGCCUUAUUGCUUCCCACCAAAAUGUUCCUUCACUAGCUAUAUACUACACUGAAAUGUAAAGUUAUGGGUAUGUUUAACAGUUUAAUUUGUCAGUGGGCAUCCAACUCUUCUAUUUGUGUUUUUACUUUGAGCUUAAUUGGAGCAGACAAAUAGAGGUGACCUCUAACUGUUUUCUUCCUGAAGCCAUUUUCAGGGCAGAAGUGCUUUACCCACUUCAUUGAGAAACCACCUUUGCAUGCAGUACCCUGAGCUGUCUUCAGCACACCAAGCAUCCACAACAUGGGAAAUACCGUGCUUUAAAUGUUGCUUUAAUCACAGUGCUCAUGAGUAAGGGCAUGUCCUGUCUCUUAUCCAUGAAAACACUCCCACAAAAUGAAGUCACACCCAGUAUCUGUUAACGGAGAUACUGAGUGGGUGAAGAAGACUCAUUCCCUAAUGCAAUUCAGGUCACACAGGGUAAAAAAGAAAAAAAAAUCCUUUUCUGUUGAGGAUACAGAUGGAGAGAAAAUGGAAAAUGCCUUUCAGGAAGCACAAGCCUAGUUUUCUAAUUGUGUUUCAGUGAACACGCAGGUGAACUUACCUGUGUGGCUUGGUAUUGUGGUGGGUUUUCAGCUUCUUCUCCACCAAAUCCUUUGAAAAGCAGCAGUGGCAGAAACAAAUAACCCAAUUAAAAACAAUAAUAGCAACAAUAAAAAAAGAAAAGAUGAAGAA